GUCGACAAUACUUCAGAGAAUCAUUUCUAUAGUAGUCGUCCUCUUUUGUAUUCCCCAAAGGAGCCACAGAUCCCACCCGGGUUGAUGAACGAUAUCCUCGACACCUACACAAUGAGGCCCUUUUACUUUCGCUAUUUUUCUGCCUGGCACUCGUGCUGGGAUUUGGAACAGAAAGUGGCGAUGAUCGAUCUAUACGCCGUCUCUCGAGGACUUGCCUUUGGGCGCUUGGAUGGGCUGGGUGUUUGAUGGAAGUCUGACCGGC
rnacentral:snoRNA from 1 species